GGGGAUAUGGCGAAAUUGGUAGCACGCAGGAGACUCAAAAUCUCCCGCCAGAGAUGGCGUGUCGGUUCGAGUCCGACUAUCCCCACCA
rnacentral:tRNA from 1 species